GAUGAACGCUAGCGGCAGGCCUAAUACAUGCAAGUCGAACGAGAUUAAGAGGCUUGCUUCUUAUGAAAGUGGCGCACGGGUGCGUAACGCGUAUGCAACCUACCUUAAUCAGGGGGAUAGCCCGAAGAAAUUCGGAUUAAGACCGCAUAAAAACACAGGAUAGCAUUAUCCAAUGUUCAAAUAUUUAUAGGAUUAAGAUGGGCAUGCGUGUCAUUAGCUAGUUGGCGGGGUAACGGCCCACCAAGGCGACGAUGACUAGGGGAUCUGAGAGGAUGACCCCCCACAAUGGUACUGAGACACGGACCAGACUCCUACGGGAGGCAGCGGUAAGGAAUAUUGGUCAAUGGAGGGAACUCUGAACCAGCCAUGCCGCGUGCAGGAAGACAGCCCUCUGGGUCGUAAACUGCUUUUAGUCGGGAAUAAACCUUUCUACGUGUAGGAAGCUGAAGGUACCGAAGGAAUAAGGAUCGGCUAACUCCGUG
rnacentral:rRNA from 1 species